CGUGUGAUGAACAAACUAUCGAAAUGCGUUUCAAUGAGACUCCAUUUAUAAGUUCAGACAAUACGACUGCAAUUAGUAUUAUGGAGACGAGUACGAGCAACGAUCGUAGCGGCAGUAGUGAAAGGGAUUAUCGAUGUAACUGAGGAAGGAUUAUUGAAACACAUUUCUAGAAAAACAAUGCACUUACAGCCACAAAGAAUUCAAGGGAAAUUUUUUAACAAAUUUUUGGAAAAUAAACUGAAAAACAAAUAAAAUCUCUACAAAUGUACAAGGAUAAAAGUAAACU